rnacentral:rRNA from 2 species
AUGCAAGUCGAACGGAUGAUCCAGCUUCGGUUGGAAAGUUAGUGGCAGACGGCUGAGUAACGCGUAAAUAACCUACCCAUUGGCGGGGGACAACUUGGAGAAAUUCGAGCUAAUACCGCAUGUGGUUCACUCCUGCAGGGGGGUGAACGAAAGACUUCGGUCACCAGUGGACGGAUUUGCGUUCCAUCAGGUAGUUGGUGAGGUAACGGCCCACCAAGCCUACAACGGAUAGCCGGUGUGAGAGCACGACCGGCCAGAGGGGGACUGAGACACGGCCCCCACUCC